UACAGAGGUCUCGAGCGUUGUUCGGAUUCAUUGAGCGUAAAGGGCGCGUAGGCGGCGGGGUAAGUCUGGUGUGAAAUCUCGGAGCUCAACUCCGAAAUUGCACUGGAUACUGCUCUGCUAGAGGGCUGGAGAGGAGAUCGGAAUUCACGGUGUAGCAGUGAAAUGCGUAGAUAUCGUGAGGAAGACCAGUGGCGAAGGCGGAUCUCUGGACAGCUCCUGACGCUGAGGCGCGAAGGCUAGGGGGAGCAAACGGGG
rnacentral:rRNA from 1 species